ACGACCUUGGGGUCAUGACCUGAGCCAAAAUCAAGAGUCAGAUGUUCCACCAACUGUGCCACCCAGGCACCCCUUGAUUUAUUCUCAAGAAAAAGGCAAAUUUGUUAUAAUUUUAUAAUGUCAAAGAUGACAGGACACUUCUGCUCAUCUUAACUGAGACUGCCAAUGAUGGUGCUUUUUCUAAGACCACUCUGCUUCCAGAUGAAACUAAGAAAUUCUAUUAGCCAAGGAGAGAAACAUUUGAGGAAUGAAGUGUAGCAGGGUUUGGUCACUGGAAAAAUGAAUCUGUAUCCAAAAAAAUUUGAUGUGAGAUUCAUUUAUUUCAUUUGAAUCUUGGUGCUUCAUAUUAUAUUUUGUUAGAGUGAUCAAGCUGUAACAGUCUUCUUUUUAAGUUUAUUUAUUUUGAGAAAGAGAGCUGGGUAGAGGCAGAGAAGGGGGGAGAGAGAGAGAAUCUCAAGCAGGCUCUGCACUGCCAGUGCCGAGCUUGAUGCGGGGCUUGAAUCCACGAACUGUAUAUCAUGACCUGAGCUGAAAUCAAGUUGGGCACUUAACCUACUGAACCACCCAGGCGCCCCUAGCAUUUCUUAAGGGGAAUUAUGGGAAAGAUAAAAUAGAGAAGGGUUCCAUCUUUGAAAUGAUGGUUCUACGAAGUUCCUAAGUGGAGGUUAACAGAAGUGGCAGUAAAGUAGGAUAUAUAUCCUUAUGACAGAUUUAAAAGAAGUUUGUAUUUGAAAGAAAAGGUAAGAGACUGCAAGUAAAUCUAUUACAGAGAAAUGUCUAUUCAAAUAACUUUGGAACAGUUACAAAAAAUAAUUAUACAAGCACUUCCACAAAACCAUACUAAUUUCCAAAUUCAAAAUGCAAGAACUGUAAAGGUCAUAGUAUUUGAACACAACAUAAUAAAGGUGAAAAAAUAAACACCCCUGCCACAUGCAUAUUUUAAAAUGUGAAAAUUAAUUAAAGGAAACUUUUUUUUUUUUUUUUUAAAGGAAAUCUCAUUUAGAAUGGAGUCAGGCCAGCAGGGCAAGCUCUCACAACUUCUCACUUCUCAAUUCCAGACCUAAGGGGAAGAGAGGGACUUUGCACAAGGAUACUAUUUUGCUAUCCCAACAGGAGGAAGAAAGGCUUUCCUCCUCCCCCAAGCAACAAUCCAGCCAAUGAGACACUGACACCUCAGCCAGUGAAAACCCACUAUACUUCCAGUUCCCAAUUUACUCUAAUGGACUUUUUUGUUUAUAACAGCUUUCUCAACAUCCUGUUUUCCUCUUUAUUAAAGGGCAUUCCUCUCCUUCCUUCUGAAUUCUUGCCUAUGGUUUUGCCCUAUCUUGUUUGUCCUGGACUGCAAUUCUCUAGUAUUACUGAAUAAACCUUUUUUUUUUUUUUUUUUUUGCUGGUAAAAUAACUGGCAAUCUUAUUUAUUUUUAAAAGUUUAUUUUGAGAGAGUGAGUAUGGGGGAGGGGUAGAGAGAACAGGAA